GGAGACUCCUGCCCUAGAACUACGGGAGAAAAUCUUCAAGAUAAAGAGAACAUGCAGAUCCCAAAACCAUGCAGCCUGUCCAGAAGGUCCAUCAGGGUGUCGUCUACCCCCAGUGACUAAGUAAACACGCAAAGUAGCAGUGUGAGCCCAUGGAUUUCCAAAACAUAGGACAGCAGGGGACGGCUCAUUAAUAUUCAUAAAGGACGCACUACUUGAUGGUCUUUGUUCUAGGACACUUUUGGGCAGCUUGACCUGUUUUGUAGCACAGAACGCUCUCUGUAAUUGUUAAGAUAAUCUUUGUUCAAUAAUGCUUUUGGGAAACGUCCCUCUUUUGUAGUGCAAAAAAGUUGUUCUUCUUGCUAGCUAUUGUAGUCAUGGUCAAGAUUCUGAGGUAGCUAAAUAGCUAAGCAAAAAAGUUAUGUUAGCUUUUGAGAUGCACAAUAUUUCAGUUAACAUAUCUCUAUCAGGCAAGAUUCAGAUUUAGGUUACUUCAUUUAUCCUUGAGGGUAAAUUUUUGUGUUGUAGUAGCCAUUUACAUAAAUGACAGGAACACACAGACACAAGGCAGGCGUAAUCGUAGACAAAACACCAAAUUACAAAAAUAUGUAUGUAAAAAUACGCUAAAUGUAUAAAAAUGCAAAAUGUACAAAUAUGCAAAAAUACCUUAGUGUGCAAAAGAAAUGUAAAUGUGCAUUGGAGACUCCUCUUCCAGCAGAGGGAGGAGUGGUUAUAGAUGGUUACUGCCUUGGGCAGGAAUGACCUCCUGUCUUGCUCUGUCUUGGGAUUGUGUGGAAUUUGUUUUAAAUCAGAGUACCUGGAGGAAGCAGAACUGAAGGAGUCUCUGAUUGAAAUCACUCUGUUGGCUGUCCAGUAGAUUGUGUAAGUUCUGCAUAGUAUUGUCCAUGAUGCUGAGCAGCUUGUGCAACAUCUUUCUCUCCGCAACCAGCUCUAGGGGCUCCAGAGCACUCACCAGCACAGAGCCAGCCUUCUUUAUCGGUUUGUUCAGCAAAGUGUUUAAAAAGCACAUCUUAUACAGUGAGUAGACAAGGGACUGGAGCUACUGCAGCAAGCUGCCGCUAGCAUGGCGGCAUCUUGGAAUAUUCAUCAUAAAUCAAGAUAUCGGCAUCGGUCCAUUGGGUCAGUCUUGGCCGUUAUUGCUAGUCAGUAUUUACGCUUUCUCACUACACAGUUAUUCAAAUCGGCAGCACCAGAGCUAAAGACGCAACUACAUUUUCUGAAGUGGAGAAUGAGAGAUUUCAUUGGCAUGUUCAUCGUUUAUAAACGAUCUAAAAAUGCCAGCCUGCGCCGUGUUUCUUGUUCAUUAUUAAAUCUGGCCAAUCCCUGCUCAGCAAAUGGCUCAGAGGUUAGUCAGUUAUCGCUAUUGAUGGUACUGGGCAUUGACCGGUAUUGAUGGUAUUGUCCUAAAUGAAAGCCAGUCAGGUCAGG